GGGGGCGUACCGGUUUCGACUAGGUGAUCCUGCCCGGGAUGGCAUGCCGAGGAUGAUUCGUUGGCCUCGUAAAACAUCGAGUCAAAAACAUAACUGCUAACGAAGAGUUGGCUCUCGCGGCCUAAUCGGCUCGACGUUUCGCCCUGAACACCUGCUACGGGGACGGAACGCUAUCAGCAGGCAUGACCUCCGGCGGAGUACGCGCGUCGGUAGUCGAGAAACUUCAUGCGGGCUGGGAAAUGUCGGUCUACGUCAGCCGGUCACGACAUUUCCGAGAACAAAAGGCUGACUAAGCAUGUAGUCGUUUCGGGUUGAAUGGCUUAGGACGCGGGUUCAAUUCCCGCCGCCUCCACCA
rnacentral:tmRNA from 1 species